UGUCUCUCCCCUGCUAUUCAUCUUCUUUCAGGGUCCCCCUGGAAACCCAGGAAUUCCAGGCCUCCCAGGAGCUGAUGGCCCUCCGGGUCACCCAGGCCAUGAGGGCCCCACAGGAGAGAAAGGGGCCCAGGGUCCACCAGGGUCGGCAGGCCCUCCGGGCUAUCCUGGACCUCGAGGAGUGAAGGUAG